CCUGCCAAAACCAAAAAUCAGUGUAAGCCCUUCACCGUUCAGCUGGAUAAAUUACAUUCUUGGUUAAGCUUUCAUGUGGACAAACAGCAUAUUUAUGUUCUCCAGCAAAAUACAAAAUGUUUAAUCAUAUCCUUCACUGAAAUAAUCAGAAAAAAAAUGUUACCGUUUAAGGCUGUUCGCUUUUCAAGCCACUGUGGAAAUACUGCAAUUCAAUCCAAAUGGAGGGCAGGAGAAAUUCAGGAGACAUACAGCAGCAUGUUGUCAAAAACUUGUCUUAUAGCUGCUUGGAUGUUCUUAGGAAAACUUUUUCCUUAUUUAAAGUUUUCUCUGCUCAUUUACUGCUCUUUCUCAGGACAACAUUAGCUCAGAUAGCUGAGUUCUCAGUUUCUGCACAGCCUGUAACUUUUCAUAGGUUUCAGCGACAGCGCCCAAUCCUUUGUGUAUCUGGCCCUGUAAGCCUACUGUUUAACCUGACAGAUGUGUGGAUCUGCUCUGCAUAGAAACACAAAGCUAAAGUAAGUGAGAAUGUCAGGAGAAUUGCACACUGUAGUUUAAAAUGUCAUUAUCACUUACAUCAGAUCCUUAAUUACCCAUGAAAUAUUAAUCUGCCCAGAUGGAAUAUAUUUAAUAGUUAAACUCUUUUUUCUACAAUGAGUUUACAGCAUUGAUGAAUAACAGAAGAUGGACUGAUGUCAUCUACCUGGACUUGUGCAAAGCAUUUGACACUGUCCCACACAACAUCCUUUCUCUGGAUUGGGAAGACAUGCAUAUGAUGGAUGGAACACUCAGUGCAUAAGGAAUUAGCUGGAUGGUCACACUCAAAAGACUUGCAAUCAACAGCUCGAUGUCCAAGUGGAGACCAGUGACAAGUGAUAUUCCUCAGGGAUCGGUGUUGGGUCUCUCACUGUUUAACACCUUUGUUGGUGACAUGGACAUUGGAAUUGAGCACGCCCUCAGCAGGUUUGUUGCUCUGGGGUCGCCAGCAUAAGAAAGACAUGCAGCUAUUGGAGCAAGUCCAGAAGAGGCCACAAAGAUGAUCCGAGGUCUGGGGCACCUCUGCUAUGGAGAGAGGCUGAGAGAGUUGGAGUUCAGCCUGGAGAAGAGAAGGCUCUGAGGACACCUUAGAGCAGCUUCCAGUGCCUAAAGGGGCUACAAGAAAUCUGGAGAGGGACUUUUAACAAGGGCAGGGAGGUCUGAGAUCAACAAAGGACUGCCCACAGUUCCCUAGUAUCUAGGAACAGUGCAUCCAACUGGGUUAACCAUGCAAAGUGACUUUCUGUUCCUGAUCCUAGAACUACCUUUUCCUGUAUCCUUUCAUGGAUGUUGCAAUCCUCCAAAAAGGUAUUGGUGCCAUCACCAGAGGUAGCAGGACUUGCGUUCACCCUGUCCUUUCUGAAGGAGACACAAAUCCACACCUCCCACUUCCAGAAGCAUACACCAGUUCCCAAUUGUAGAGUUUGCUGGAUUGGAUCCUUCACAGGCUCUUCUGCUAAACAUAAUUUUGCAUAAAGUUCAUAAAAUCUGAAAGCCUUAA